rnacentral:rRNA from 1 species
AACGAACGCUGGCGGCAUGCCUAACACAUGCAAGUCGAACGAGACCUUCGGGUCUAGUGGCGCACGGGUGCGUAACGCGUGGGAACCUGCCUUUAGGUUCGGAAUAACAGUGAGAAAUUACUGCUAAUACCGGAUGAUGUCUUCGGACCAAAGAUUUAUCGCCUUUAGAUGGGGCCCGCGUUGGAUUAGCUAGUUGGUGGGGUAAAGGCCUACCAAGGCGACGAUCCAUAGCUGGUCUGAGAGGAUGAUCAGCCACACUGGGACUGAGACACGGCCCAGACUCCUACGGGAGGCAGCAGUGGGGAAUAUUGGACAAUGGGCGAAAGCCUGAUCCAGCAAUGCCGCGUGAGUGAUGAAGGCCUUAGGGUUGUAAAGCUCUUUCAGUGGGGAAGAUAAUGACGGUACCCACAGAAGAAGCCCCGGCUAACUCCGUG